rnacentral:rRNA from 1 species
AUACGGAGGGGGCAAGCGUUGUUCGGAAUUACUGGGCUUAAAGCGUGCGUAGGCGGGAUGGCAGGUGUCGUGUGAAAGCCCUCGGCUCAACCGAGGAAUUGCUCGGCAAACCGUCAUUCUUGAGGCCAGCAGGGGGACCUGGAACUUUGGGUGGAGCGGUGAAAUGCGUAGAUAUCCAAGGGAACGCCGGUGGCGAAAGCGGGGUCCUGGGCUGGUUCUGACGCUGAGGCACGAAAGCGUGGGUAGCAAACAGGAUUAGAAACCCCGGUAGUCC